rnacentral:lncRNA from 1 species
AAGAAUAAAAAUAGACAGUGAGAAUUUUCAUGUACUUCUUGUAUUCUAGUGCUUCAUUAGUCAAAUUAUAUAGGCACAUAUACUGUGGGAUGCAUUCUAGUGCUUAAUUAGUCAAAUUAUAUAGGCACAUAUACUAUGGCCCUGCAACUUCAUUCCUGGGUCUGCAUCUCAAAGAAAUUACUACAAAGGUCCAUAUAGGGCGUUUUCAAGAUCUAUUGUUGAUAAUAUAUAAUAUCUUACAAGUUAUUUAAUUCUCUAAUGUAUGGGAAGCAGCGUAGCAUCGUCCUUGCUGUUGCUAUGGUAUUUAUUGCUGUUGAGCCUUCAGGAAACCUCUCUGCAUCUCGGUUUCCUCAUCUAUAAAAUGGAGAUGAUAACUGUACUUACAUCAUGGAGCUGCUAUGAGGAUCAAAGAAGUUAUCAACACUUCAGAAUAUGGCCAGCACAUAGGAACAAUAUAUCUAUUUGCUAAAUCGAAGGAUAAAAAGAAACCUACUUUGUAUGGAAAAGGAGAAAGAAAAGAGUAAGAUUGAACUAUGCUUUGCUGCAUGGUGGGUUUGAUGAAAGUGGAGUCACGCUGAUUGGUGCUCAAGAUAAAUGUCUUAGGGGAAGACUCAUACCCAGUGGAAUUUUUUUUAGUGAAAUAUCGUGGCUCAUGGACUGUGAGAUUUGUCAUUUGUUUUCAAUAAAAUGAUAAAAAUCAUAA